rnacentral:rRNA from 1 species
UACGGAGGAUGCGAGCGUUAUCCGGAUUUAUUGGGUUUAAAGGGUGCGUAGGCGGACUGUCAAGUCAGCGGUAAAAUUGAGAGGCUCAACCUCUUCCCGCCGUUGAAACUGGUGGUCUUGAGUGGAUGAGAAGUACGCGGAAUGCGUGGUGUAGCGGUGAAAUGCAUAGAUAUCACGCAGAACUCCGAUUGCGAAGGCAGCGUACCGGCAUCCAACUGACGCUGGGGCACGAAAGCGUGGGGAUCAAACAGG